rnacentral:rRNA from 1 species
AUGACGAUCUUCGACAACCUCCGAAACGUGCUAGCCCAUGUGAAUCGCACGCGGAACCGGCUCUAUAUCCUCAACCUUGAUCAAUCUCAACCGGAGUGUUGGCUCGCCAAGAGUGAUGAUGAUUCGUGGUUAUGGCAUGCUAGAUUUGGACACGUUAAUUUCUAUGCCUUGAAGAAGAUGUCGAAGAUGGAGAUGAUAUCUCGGAUGCCGUUAAUCGACCAUGUUGAUCGAGUAUGUGACGGAUGCUUUGUUGGAAAACAACACCGCAGACCGUUCCCUGCUCAGUCUACCUAUCGUGCAAGUGAUGCACUCGAGCUGCUCCAUGGUGAUAUAUGUGGCCCUAUCACCCCAGCAACUCACGGAGGAAAGAAGUAUUUCUUCCUAGUGGUAGAUGACUACUCGAGAUAUAUGUGGGUCGUUCUCCUACGAUCUAAAGACGAUGCAUUUGAAGCGUUUAAGAAGCAGAAGGCUGCAACGGAGAUGGAACACAAGCUGAAGGUUCGCGCUCUACGGACAGAUCACGGCGGAGAGUUUACGUCGAAACGAGUUCAACGACUACUGCGAGAAGAUUGGCAUAAAGAGGUUCCUCAUGGCACCUUAUACACCACAGCAGAACGGGGUUGUUGA